rnacentral:tRNA from 1 species
AUGAGGCUCAGUUGGUAGAGUGCAUGCCUAGCAUGCAUGGAGCCCUGGGUUCCAUCCCCAGACCACAUA